GGAAGAGAGUUCAGUUUUGCUCUGAAGACAUUUGUUGACGGUGCUGUAAAGAGCAACAUCCUCUGAACUUUCAGAUCCUGGUGUUCUCAGAUUUCUUGAAUACAACUGCAGAAUAUUCCACCGUGUUGUCCUCUGGACUCUGUCUGGGUUUGUGGUUCCUCCUGAUGUUGGAGAAAUUGAUGCUGCUGUAAUGAAGCUCCAGCUGCUCUUCUGCUGCUUCUGCUGAUGGACCGUUGAUGUCUGGACUCAUGUUGACCUGCAGGAUAAGAAGAAUAAAAAAACUCACAUCUUCCCGAUCUGGACUUCAACUGAUGUUUAUGAGGCUGUUUGCUGUAAAAUAAUUAUCUUCCUUUUUAAUCAGAAUCUGUCCAAACCUCUUGGGGAAAUAAACAUGGUUCAACCACGUUUUUUAAAGGAUAAAUUGUUUUAGUUUUACUUAAAGAUCUUAUACCUGCUAUGGUUUGCUCAUCUCUAAGUUAUCUCUGCUAGAUACAGACAGAUAUAGAUCAACUGCACAUCUCUCAUUGUUGAAAGACGCCUCAAGAAUAUAAAGUAAAUCUUUCUGACCUGAGUUCUGUUGGCAGGUCUCUCCUUCUGCUUUGUAACACAUCUGUUCUUUCUGGUUUUGACAGUCAAAAAAAGAACAAAGUCAGUUAGAGAAGCAUAAAUGUGAACUUUAGUCCAAAUGUUCCAGUGAAUCAGGUAUAAAAUAGUUCUUUACCUGAUCCAAAGGAAGAUAGGGAUAAAGACAAAAAGUAAAACAGCAAAUGUGAUCGUUGCAGCUGCUGCUGAUUUCCGUGAACCUGAAAAGACAAAAGAAAACUCUUAAAACCUCGAGUCACAUCAACCUUUAGACGAGAUGACCCGUACGAGUUCUGCUGGUUCUUUGGGUCGUCCAGGUUCAUGUAUUCACAUCUUGGGGAGCACAGGUGUGUCUUGCUGUUCCCUUAAAGCUCAUACGGCCGCUUAACAAGAUGUUUGUGAAAAGGAAACAUACCAUUGUAGUCUGUGUGGUCAGAGUAUCUUAAAGUAUUUGUUAGAAUAACAUAAGUUCUACAUACUCAUAUCAAAUAAUGCUGUUGUACGGUGUCCUUACGUCACUCUAGCUGUUAGUAAGCUGUGAGAACUGUCCUCUUACUGAACGUCUGCAAACUCAGACGGACGGAGAAUCCAGCUGAUACAUCAGGACGUCCACACAAACUACAUUCUGAUGUUUAGUUUCCUUAUUUCUGACCGUCAGGCUGCAGUACGGAGCGCACAUGAACAGCACUAACGGGCUCUUUGUGCAGUCUGUAGGAUUUGAGGGGUUAAAAAAAGAAAAAAUCAUCCACACACCCGUGUCUCAUCUAUUUCACUCUUUCUUACACUUGUGUGGUGUAUUCGUGUUCACUACACCCUGUCGCCCGCAGCACGCCCAUAGAUAAAACUUGCAUGAACAUUUUCUCUCUAUGGGUUUACCAAGUGGUCAACAACCUUCAUAUUUUGUGUUGGUCGCCUGGAUUCCUCUGUAAGGGCUGUUGAAGCUAAAGCCUUAGAUGGAUUAAGGGAUGUUGUAAUUUAUAAAGAUUAUGUCAGCAGACACAAAGACAGAUUUAGUUUCUUCAAAGAACCAUCAGUUUGUCCCAGAAAUGAACCAACCUGUUUCUGUUUCAAUCAGAUGUAAACUGGACUGAAUUCUUCCUCUUCUGUUCUCUGCUUCACAGUAAUAAACUCCACUGAGUUCAGCUCUGAAGUCACUGAUGGUCCAGUUUGGUCCAGAUGCUUUUGUACAAAGACAAAAGAAGACAGAAGAUGGAGGAGACAUGAACUUACAGACUUCAGAUGAGCGCUGACCCUCAUAAGAACAGGAGUAAGUGUCUUCAGGAGAAACAGGAUUUCUGUAAGAAUAAGAAGUUUC